rnacentral:rRNA from 1 species
GACAGCAGCAGCCACGGGAAUACGAAGGGGGCUAGCGUUGUUCGGAAUUACUGGGCGUAAAGCGCACGUAGGCGGAUAUUUAAGUCAGGGGUGAAAUCCCGCAGCUCAACUGCGGAACUGCCUUUGAUACUGGGUAUCUUGAGUAUGGAAGAGGUUAGUGGAAUUGCGAGUGUAGAGGUGAAAUUCGUAGAUAUUCGCAGGAACACCAGUGGCGAAGGCGGCUAACUGGUCCAUAACUGACGCUGAGGUGCGAAAGCGUGGGGAGCAAACCGGAUUAGAUACCCCGGUAGUCCCUGUCUCUUAUAC